GAUGAACGCUGGCGGCGUGCCUAAUACAUGCAAGUCGAGCGAACGGACGAGACGCUUGCUUCUCUGAUGUUAGCGGCGGACGGGUGAGUAACACGUGGAUAACCUACCUAUAUUACUGGGAUCACUUCGGGAAACCGGAGCUAAUACCGUAUGAUCUUUUGAACCGCAUUGUUCAAUGGUGAAAGACGGUCUUGCUGUCACUUAUCGCUGGAUCCCCGCUGCAUUAGCUGGUUGGUAAGGUAACGGCCUACCAAGGCAACCAUGCGUAGCCGACCGGAGCGGGGGAUCGGCCACACUGGAACUGAGACACGGUCCAGACUACUAAGGGAGGCAGCAGUAGGGAACCUUCCGCAAUAGGCGAAAGCCUGACGGAGCAACGCCGAGUGAGUGACGAAGGUCUUCGGAUCGUAAAACUCUGUUAUUAGGGAAGAACAUAUGUGUAAGUAAAUGUGGACAUCUUGACGGUACCUAAUCAGAAAGCCACGGCUAACUACGUG
rnacentral:rRNA from 1 species